rnacentral:lncRNA from 1 species
AUUUGAAUGAAUCUGUAUUUCUGUCAUAAUAAUAACAAUCUGUCUCUAAAUCUAUCUUAGUUUGUUAAUGUGAAUUUUUCAGUGUUCUGCCAAAGAAAAGCAUGGUCUAUCUACAAAUUACAUCUAUUUUUAUUCUUCUGUAUAUUUCAGUUGUUUUAUAAAUAACAAAAUGUUAGCUUUGCUAAUAUCUAACUGUCAGAAUACAUUAUAGGCGAUUUGGUGGGAUUUUGGAUACAGACAAUAAAAUUAUUUGUACAAAAUAGUUGGAAAAUUUGGAUAACAAUCAGAAUUUAGAUUUCUUGUCUCCUAAAAAUUGGUCUAAAAGGGUAGAGAUAUUUUUAAAUUCCCAAUAUUAAUUGAGUUCACAGAUUUACACAUGUUUUUUUUUUUUUUUUAUCUUUUAUGCAAACUACGCAUCACCUCCUUUUUUGGCAAGUUUAAGUAGUGCCAUGUUUUCCUGAAAGCUCUUGUGUAUUAAUGUUUUAACAAGUUUUUAAUGCUUUUUUCCUGAAGAAAAUAUCACUAGCAGUAUAUGGCUAGUUCUCAAGUAUCAAAACUCUUCCAAUACAUUUCUCACUAGCCUUUUGGCAAGUUAGCGGGCAAAGACUAAACACACCAAGCUUGGUACAACAUUGAUAGUACACAAUAGAUAAGAAAACUUGUUCAAUUUUUCAAGAUACAGUAAUAAGCAAUAUAACCAAGCAUGGUUGGAAAAUAAUGGUAUUUUCAAUGGUAUUUUCAAACACUGCACAUUAACCAUGAGAUUCAACUGCCAGGAGUAAUGAUAUAUGUGCAAAAUUGCGGAUUUUUAUUUAACUAAUUUUGAUACUAUCAAUAACAUUUAUUUCCCAUGAGGCAUGACUCUGCAGGUUUGAAUAAUCAACUCUUUAUAUCAGGCCUGUCAUUGGUCAAUUAUUUGAAGUCAUUCUUUCAACCAAUUUUAUAUAAUAAAAUACUUCAGUUCAAGAAACAAGUAUCAUUUGUGUCCUAUAAUGUCUUCUGUCCACUUCAUUUGAACUUUGGUUGAUGAUUCUCUCAUUGGCAAUCAUACCACAUCUCCUUUAUUUUUAUAUUAACACAAUAAACAUGGCAAUUUCAUGUUCCAGUAAGGGGCAUUGUUAAGAAAUCACAUUUAACCAUCUUCCAUUAUUAAUACAUCUACAUCAUGUUAUGGCAUUUAACUACAUGAUCUGCUUGUUAAUUUAUAUGUUUUGUUUUAUGUAUUAUACAUUCCAUGUUAAAAUGUUUAUUUUUGUUUUGUCUUUAUAUACAUUCCUUUGUUUUGUGAUUGGUUUAUGUUCUUGUUAACUUUAUUUGUGGUCAUUUGAUAUUUUUUCAAAGAGUAAUUUAUGUACUUGUUAAUUUUAUUUAUUUGUGGUUAUAAGAUAUUAUUUCCAAAAACUAUUUACAUAUAUCAUUUCUCUUUCAUUUGCUGAUGUAUUUUUCUGAAAGAUCUGUUAUGUAUAAAUGUCUUUUUUUUAAUAAGAUGCUUUUAGUAAGGCAUGGUGUAUUUUGCACUAUUUUAGAGGCAUUAAAUAUAAAUAAAUAAUCUAUUUGGACAGUGUUCACUACAUGUAUUAACUUGCAACUAGCAACAUGAAACUAUAUUGUCUGCCUACAUCAAAACAUGUAGUUUUUGCAAAUAUCACUUUUUAUUUACUUUAAAUUCUGAAAUGACUGUGACUUUCUAAUAACAUAGUAAUGUGAAAACUCACGCAGUAUGGGACUUAUAAUUUCAGUAGUAAAUUUCGUCAAAUUUUUAUUUGCAAUUGCAUAGAUUGGAUUUGGUCAAAGAUUUGCAAUAAGGAUUGCACACAUACAUUUCUGUUUCUGAAACUACAGUAAUUCAAGACCAUUUUAUAUUGCGAUGUUUCAAUAAAUUGACUUUUUUCUGGUUUAUUUUUAUAUUAACAUUUAGAGAAUCAAAUCUAGUAACAAAAGUUCUUUCUGUUAUUGUACACAUUGAUAUUUGAUUAAACGUCUUAUUGAAUAAGAAUGUUCUGUGAAAUGUGAAUGAGGGAUAAUUGGGGGAGAAAUUGAUGUAUGAUCUUAACUGUUGUUGCUAUAUAUAUUAUACAAAGACAAAAUAAAGUUGAUUAAUGUAUA